rnacentral:rRNA from 1 species
UAACGAAGGGGCUAGCGUUGUUCGGAAUUACUGGGCGUAAAGCGUGCGCAGGCGGCCAUCCAAGUCAGUGGUGAAAGCCCGGAGCUCAACUCCGGAAUUGCCAUUGAAACUGUUGGCUCGAGUACGAGAGAGGUGAGUGGAAUUCCCAGUGUAGAGGUGAAAUUCGUAGAUAUUGGGAAGAACACCGGUGGCGAAGGCGGCUCACUGGCUCGUAACUGACGCUCAUGCACGACAGCGUGGGGAUCAAACAGG